GCACCAAUAGUGUUGCGAUGUCAUUGUACCCUCCCAAGGUAAAGACCCGGGUUCGACUCCCGGUUGUUGCA
rnacentral:tRNA from 1 species